UGAGGAAUAUUGGUCAAUGGGCGAGAGCCUGAACCAGCCAAGUAGCGUGCAGGAUGACGGCCCUAUGGGUUGUAAACUGCUUUUAUAAGGGAAUAAAGUGGGUCACGUGUGACUUUUUGCAUGUACCUUAUGAAUAAGGACCGGCUAAUUCCGUGCCAGCAGCCGCGGUAAUACGGAAGGUCCGGGCGUUAUCCGGAUUUAUUGGGUUUAAAGGGAGCGUAGGCCGGAGAUUAAGCGUGUUGUGAAAUGUAGUGGCUCAACCUCUGCACUGCAGCGCGAACUGGGGGCUUGUAGUGACGCACAA
rnacentral:rRNA from 1 species